GAUGAACGCUGGCGGCGUGCCUAAUACAUGCAAGUCGAGCGAACGGACGAGAAGCUUGCUUCUCUGAUGUUAGCGGCGGACGGGUGAGUAACACGUGGAUAACCUACCUAUAAGACUGGGAUAACUUCGGGAAACCGGAGCUAAUACCGGAUAAUAUUUUGAACCGCAUGGUUCAAAAGUGAAAGACGGUCUUGCUGUCACUUAUAGAUGGAUCCGCGCUGCAUUAGCUAGUUGGUAAGGUAACGGCUUACCAAGGCAACGAUGCAUAGCCGACCUGAGAGGGUGAUCGGCCACACUGGAACUGAGACACGGUCCAGACCCCUACGGGAGGCAGCAGUAGGGAAUCUUCCGCAAUGGGCGAAAGCCUGACGGAGCAACGCCGCGUGAGUGAUGAAGGUCUUCGGAUCGUAAAACUCUGUUAUUAGGGAAGAACAUAUGUGUAAGUAACUGUGCACAUCUUGACGGUGCCUAAUCAGAAAGCCACGGCUAACUACGUG
rnacentral:rRNA from 1 species